rnacentral:rRNA from 1 species
UGCCAGCCGCCGCGGUAAUACGAAGGAACCUAGCGUAGUUCGGAAUUACUGGGCUUAAAGAGUUCGUAGGUGGUUGAAAUAGUUGGUGGUGAAAUCCCAGAGCUUAACUCUGGAGCUGCCAUCAAAACUUUUCAGCUAGAGUAUGAUAGAGGAAAGCAGAAUUUCUAGUGUAGAGGUGAGAUUCGUAGAAAUUAGAAAGAAUACCAAUUGCGAAGGCAGCUUUCUGGAUCAUUACUGACACUGAGGAACGAAAGCAUGGGUAGCGAAGAGGAAUAGAUA